rnacentral:lncRNA from 10 species
UUGUCCUGCCUCAGCCUCCCGAGUAGCUGGGACCACAGGUGCCCGCCACCACACCAGGCUAAUUUUUUGUAUUUUUUUAGUAGACAUGGUAUUUCACCACGUUAGCCAGGAUGGUCUCAAUCUCCUGAUCUUGUGAUCCACCCGCCUCGGCCUCCCAAAGUGCUGGGAUUACAGGCGUGAGCCACCACGCCCAGCCCUCUCUUUUCUAAUACAUGCACUUAAGGCUAUAUAUUUCCCUGUAAGUGUUGUUUUAG